UGCAGUUGAGUUGGUAAGAAAGCUACGUGCGAGAUAAGAGGUCUUGGGUUUCGAAUCUCACGCAUAGCAAGAGCGGUCUCCUAGGAUUUAAACUAUUUUUUUAGUUCCAAGAGUGGGCUUUAGUUCCGAUUGUAUGACCCGAGAUUAAAGGUCCCGGCCUGUAGUCCCAGGUCCUGACUAAAUGGGGUUUCCUAACCGGAAUUGAAUAGUCCCAGGUCCUGACUAAAUGGGGUUUCCUAACCGGAAUUGAAGCCCACCUGUGUACUGUCCAUCAAACGGACCAAAUGGGGUUUCCUAACCGGAAUUGAAGCCCACCUGUGUACUGUCCAUCAAACAUAAGCCGUCAGGGACUAUUGCUAGGAGAAGUUGAUCUUUCCUGUCGACAAGUCGGUCUUGUUGGCCGAUUCCUAACAGCUAGUGUUUCUUUCUUGGCCGUCAAGGAAAAACUGUCCCUGGUAGUAAUAUACCUCAUCAUUCAUUAUUAUACGCCAAGCUAGCCAAAUAAUAAAUAAACUCGAUGCUCAAUCCACAACUGACUUUCCAGUUUUUGUAUGCAGACAUAGUGUUGACGUGGUGGCUAUGUCAUCUGUGCAUAUUUUCUGAGAUGUAGAACCUCAAGCAGAAAGGCACUGAGUCGAUUGAGUAAUAUAUAUGAAACUGAAUGCAACGAUUUAGAUUUCAAUCUGGCCAUUGAGCAUUCAGCUAGCCAUGAAUCGAGACCCUUCAUGGUUGCAUAGCUUCCAUGCUGAUUGACAAAGCUGAGGCCAUGGAGGAGCCGUCAGGAUAAUAUAAUUAACUUUCCUGAAUUUUGAAAAUAUUUGUACUACAGGAUCCAGCGGAUCAUGCAUCUAUGGAAUAAUGGAGAGAAAAUAAAGUGCAGAAAAAGUGCAUGCACCACAUAUAGGAAGAAUAG
rnacentral:lncRNA from 1 species